rnacentral:rRNA from 1 species
UACUGCUAUCGGUGUUCGACUAAGCCAUGCUAGUUAAAUGUUCUUCGUGAACAUAGCGGACUGCUCAGUAACACGUGGACAAUCUGCCCUUGGGUUCAGCAUAACCCCGGGAAACUGGGGAUAAUUCUGAAUAGAUCACAUAUGCUGGAAUGCUUUGUGAUUAAAAGAUCCGUCGCCCAAGGAUGGGUCUGCGGCCUAUCAGGUUGUAGUGGGUCUAGAGUACCUACUAGCCAACGACGGGUACGGGUUGUGAGAGCAAGAGCCCGGAGAUGGAUUCUGAGACAUUAAUCCAGGCCCUACGGGGCGCAGCAGGCGCGAAACCUUUACACUGCGGGAAACCGCGAUAAGGGGACACCGAGUGCCAGCAUACAAUGCUGGCUGUCCACAUGUGUAAAUAGCAUGUGAUAGCAAGGGCCGGGCAAGACCGGUGCCAGCCGCCGCGGUAACACCGGCGGCCCGAGUGGUAAUCACUAUUAUUGGGUCUAAAGGGUCCGUAGCCGGUUUAAUCAGUCUUCCGGGAAAUCUGACAGCUCAACUGUUAGGCUACCGGGGGAUACUGUUAGACUUGGGACCGGGAGAGGUAAGAGGUACUACAGGGGUAGGAGUGAAAUCUUGUAAUCCCUGUGGGA